GGCCCAAUGGUCUAGACGUAUGAUACACGCUUCGGGUUAAAUCUCAUGAUUGAAUAAUCAUCCUCUGUGUGUGGUCCCGGGUUCAAUUCCCGGUUGGGCCC